rnacentral:rRNA from 1 species
GCCGAACGCUGGCGGCGUGCCUAAUACAUGCAAGUAGAACGCAGUUGCGAACGGGUGAGUAAAGCGUAGGUAACUGCCUCAUAGCGGGGGAUAACUAUUGGAAACGAUAGCUAAUACCGCAUAUUGUGCGAUGGACCUGCGUUGUAUUAGCUAGUUGGGGAGGUAAAGGCUCACCAAGGCGACGAUACAUAGCCGACCUGAGAGGGUGAUCGGCCACAGGGGGACUUGGACACGGGCCAGAGUCCUACGGGAGGCAGCAGUAGGGGAACGGCGGCGAGGGGCGGAAGUCCGACCGAGCAACUGGGGGUUAGGGAAGAAGGUAUUCGGAUUGUAAAGCCCUGUUGUAAGAGAAGCGUUAGCUAACUAGAAAGGGACGGCUGACUACGUGCCAGCAGCCGCGGUAAUUC